AUUGAACGCUGGCGGCAGGCCUAACACAUGCAAGUCGAGCGGAUGAAGGGAGCUUGCUCCUGGAUUCAGCGGCGGACGGGCGAGUAAUGCCUAGGAAUCUGCCUGGUAGUGGGGGAUAACGUCCGGAAACGGGCGCUAAUACCGCAUACGUCCUGAGGGAGAAAGUGGGGGAUCUUCGGACCUCACGCUAUCAGAUGAGCCUGGGUCGGAUUAGCUAGUUGGUGGGGUAAAGGCCUACCAAGGCGACGAUCCGUAACUGGCCUGAGAGGAUGAUCAGUCACACUGGAACUGAGACACGGUCCAGACUCCUACGGGAGGCAGCAGUGGGGAAUAUUGGGCAAUGGGCGAAAGCCUGAUCCAGCAAUGCCGCGUGAGUGAAGAAGGUCUUCGGAUCGUAAAGCUCUGUAAGUUGGGAGGAAGGGCAGUAAGUGAAUACCUGGCUGUUUUGACGUUACCAACAGAAUAAGCACCGGCUAACUUCGUG
rnacentral:rRNA from 1 species